CCUACGGGGGGCAGCAGUCGAGAAUUAUUCACAAUGGGGGAAACCCUGAUGGUGCGACGCCGCGUGGGGGAAUGAAGGUCUUCGGAUUGUAAACCCCUGUCAUGUGGGAGCAAAUUAAAAAGAUAGUACCACAAGAGGAAGAGACGGCUAACUCUGUGCCAGCAGCCGCGGUAAUACAGAGGUCUCAAGCGUUGUUCGGAAUCACUGGGCGUAAAGGGUGCGUAGGCUGUUUCGUAAGUCAUGUGUGAAAGGCGCGGGCUCAACCCGCGGACGGCACAUGAUACUGCGAGACUAGAGUAAUGGAGGGGGAACCGGAAUUCUCGGUGUAGCAGUGAAAUGCGUAGAUAUCGAGAGGAACACUCGUGGCGAAGGCGGGUUCCUGGACAUUAACUGACGCUGAGGCACGAAGGCCAGGGGAGCGAAAGGGAUUAGAUACCCCUGUAGUC
rnacentral:rRNA from 1 species